rfam:Salmo salar isolate Sally breed double haploid chromosome ssa14, whole genome shotgun sequence.
AAACAGGCCUUUUUUAAGGGCACAAAUAGUAAUAAUAAUCAAUAAU